rnacentral:rRNA from 1 species
AUUGAACGCUGGCGGCAGGCCUAACACAUGCAAGUCGAAUGGUAACAGGAAACAGCUUGCUGUUUCGCUGACGAGUGGCGGGCGGGUGAGUAAUGUCUGGGAAACUGCCUGAUGGAGGGGGAUAACUACUGGAAACGGUAGCUAAUACCGCAUAACGUCGCAAGACCAAAGAGGGGGACCUUCGGGCCUCUUGCCAUCAGAUGUGCCCAGAUGGGAUUUGCUAGUAGGUGGGGUAACGGCUCACCUAGGCGACGAUCCCUAGCUGGUCUGAGAGGAUGACCAGCCACACUGGAACUGAGACACGGUCCAGACUCCUACGGGAGGCAGCAGUGGGGAAUAUUGCACAAUGGGCGCAAGCCUGAUGCAGCCAUGCCGCGUGUAUGAAGAAGGCCUUCGGGUUGUAAAGUACUUUCAGCGGGGAGGAAGGGAGUAAAGUUAAUACCUUUGCUUAUUGACGUUACCCGCAGAAGAAGCACCGGCUAACUCCGUG